GGUCCUAUAGCUCAGUUGGUUAGAGUCCCUGACUCAUAAUCAGGUUGUCCUUGGUUCGAGCCCAAGUGGGACCACAA
rnacentral:tRNA from 2 species